AUGCAAGUUCUCCCUCGGCUCCAGCAAGCCAGGGUCACCUUAACUCUGCCCACCAAAGUGGGACUGAAGCAGCGGAGCAACAGGGUAACAGCGGGGCCUGUAGUGUUUAUCCCUGCCGGAUCCCCGAGGGCGGGAGGAGUGGGGGACCCCGGCCAGGGGGGACCGGGGGCACCUGACACCCAUGGGUGGAGCCCUGAGAGGAAGAAAGUGGAGGGAGCAACUCGGCUUCAACUGAGCUGGCCGAGUCGGGGGAGGGCCCAAGCGGGCCACCAAUGGUCAGGCCCAGAUCUGGAUCAAGCCAUCUGCCAAUGGCCAAAUCAGGUCCUGAUCUACUCAACUCAGGUCUUAACUAACAACCUGAUCCCUAAUCAGGCCAAUCCAGCCACCACUGGCCAACCCAAGUCUGCAAAAGACCAAUGAGAAAGCACCAACCAAAGGCUGCUCCCAAAGAACCAAUAGUCAAGUCAGGUCUUGACCAACCUGACCCAAUCCCUACCUAGACCAGCUGGAAUGGGUUAAUCCAGGCCUGCACCAACCCAGCCAGUGAUGGCCAACCCCAUGUCUAGACCAGGCAACCACCAACGGUCAACUGAGAUCCAUGACAGGCAAAUGAGGCAAGGCCAACCCAACUAACCAACGGGUGACUCGGGUCUUGACCAGCUCGACCUAAUCCCUACCCAGGCCAACCAGAACAGGCCAAUCUGUGCCUGUACCAACCCCAUACCUGGACCAAGCAACCACCAACGGUCAACUAAGGUCCACGACAGGCCAAUGAGACAAGGCCAAACCAAACCUGGGCCAACCCAAAGAACCAACGGUCAACCCAGGUCUUGACCAACUCCACCCAGUCCCUACCCAGGCCAACUAGAAGAGGCCAGAAGAGGGACCAGGCUAAGGCCAACUGAGGUCGGUCCAACCUCUUCUUGUAUCCAACCCAAAGAACCAACGGUCAACCCAGGUCUUGACCAACUCCACCCAGUCCCUACCCAGGCCAACUAGAAGAGGCCAGAAGAGGGACCAGGCUAAGGCCAACUGAGGUCGGUCCAACCUCUUCUUGUACGUCCCCACCUCAUCCUCGAGCCUGUUCCAAUCGCAGCUGAUCCGUGCCCGGGGCCAACCAGCCAACGCCACGCAGCCGUUCCCAUGCCAAGGGGCGGACGCCACCUCGCCCACAGGCCCCCCCCCACCCAGCACCCAACCCAUGUGGCUAGGGCCAGGCCCCACCCAUCCUGCCCCAAAGAACAUCCUACCCUUCCUCCCAGGGCCUCACCGGCACCUCCCGCUGGCUGCCGGGUGCCUCCCGCAAUAAAAUAAGCUUAAAAAACCCA
rnacentral:lncRNA from 1 species